UGGUGUGGAAAAUUUCCUACACAUUUGAUGUAAAAAAUAUCAGGGGAGAAGAAUAGCCCUACUACCAUACAUUCUCCCUUCUGGUACCCACUCUGAACCACACAAAGGACUUUUUUGUUGUGUGUGAUGGAUUCAUCUGCUGUGCUUUCCAUGGCCUUUGUCUCUCACUUCUUCCUCCACAGUUUUGGAUCUCUCCUGGAUGUCAGGCACUGAAGCCCAGCCUUAAGAGAUAGUGACAUGAUUACCAUUCAGCCCUGCUCUCAAGUUGCUCACAGGACAGAGGAGGAGUUGGCAAAGCCCUCAGAGCCUCCCAUGAAUUGGCUGUCACCUGAAAUUACUGUGGGCUUGGAUUUCCUGUGAGCAUACAAGACACCUUGCUCAGAUCCUGAUUCCUGUAAAGCAAAUACUUCUGUCCUCAUGGUUCCCACAGACCUUGCACACAUCCCUGGGUUGGUGGAAGAUUUCUUUCCAUGAACCCAACUCUUAUAGAAAUUAAGAGAACUGUUUAAUUUUUUUCUUUCCAAAAGAAAGCAAGUACCGGGAAGUCUUCUUCCAUAGUAACAAUGCUUGUCAUUUACCCACUGUCACAUGAUUUAGAAAGCACUUUUCUGGACAUUUUUGUUCUGAGCCUUAAAAUAACCAUGACCUACAUAAUUUGAUCAUAAUGAAAAAUGGUUGAACUAUGUAAAAAAUCCAAUUCUGAUAUACCAAUGAAAUAAACUUUUGAGAUUGGUGAAACCCAUACCUGUUUUGUCUUUAUUUUACAGAUGAGGAAAGUGAGACUUCACCAGAAAGGCAUCCAAUCAAUGGCAACAUCAAGAUCUGAAAGCCUGAAGUCUGAGAUCAGAGUGCCAGCAUGAUCAGCCUCUGCUGAGGGCUGUCUUCAGGGGUGCAGACUGCAGACUUCUCAUUGUAUCCUCAUGUGGUGGAAAGAGCAAGAUAACUCUCUGGGUCUUUUUUAGAAGAAUACUAAUUUCAUUCAUGA